GGAAAAAUGCUUUUAGUCUUAGAAGCGAAGCGAGCACUCCACGCAUCCAAACGACUGCUAAAUGGAGAAGGAGAAGGAGAAGGAGGAGAAGGAGGAGGACGAACUGAAGGCCACAGGAGCGGAAGCGCUAACGGAUGGUAGGUCUGGACUUCGCAUCAGAGGUUGGGUGAUCGAAUCUUUCAACCGUCCAAUUCUCAGCUCGUCAGCCGUUCAUCUGUGGGAGCAAAACAUUGGAACAUCCCAUUUGCCAGAGAUGGUGUUUGGAGAAAGUUCUUUGCUUCUUUCACAUGCAGACAGUGGCAUUAAAAUUCACUUUAGUGCAUUUGAUGCUCUUAAAGGAUGGAAACAUGAACGUUUACCACCAGUUGAAGUUCCUGCAGCAGCAAAGUGGAAAUUCAGAAGCAAGCCAUUUCAGCAGGUGAUACUUGAUUAUGACUAUACAUUCACAACACCAUAUUGUGGCAGCGAAACAAUUGAACCAAAUUCAAAGAAGAAUGGUACAGACACAAAUUUGGAAGAUGGGAGCUGUUGUUUACAGUGGGAAGAUUGCAAGGAGCAAAUCGAUCUAGUUGCAUUGGCAUCAAAAGAGCCUAUUCUCUUCUAUGAUGAGGUGGUUUUGUAUGAAGAUGAGUUGGCUGACAAUGGAGUGUCACUCCUAACAGUAAAAGUGAGAGUAAUGCCAAGUUGUUGGUUUCUUCUUCUGCGUUUCUGGCUUAGAGUUGACGGAGUACUUAUGAGAUUAAGAGACACUCGAAUGUACUGUGCUUUUGGAAGUGAUAACAGAGAAAAGCCCAUUAUUCUUCGAGAGAGCUGCUGGAGAGAAGCCACAUUUCAAGAAUUAUCUGCUAAAGGCUUUCCUUCUGAUUCUGCUGCAUAUGGCGACCCAAAUCUCAUUAAUCAGCGGCUAUCCAUCAUUAUGCAUAAGACCCAAAAGCUGAAAGUCCCUGGUUGACAAUCCAACACCAAUUCCAUCAGCGGUCAAUUCUCUAACUAGUAUCAACUGCUAUGGAUUCUUUCCUUCCCAAAUAAUGCAAGAGCAUCACCUAUCAGAUAGAUGGCCUGGAUCGAUGAAAGAGGGGCCCCACCUAUAUGGAAAGAUGAUCCGAACUGAAAACACUUGGGAGUUCAGGCCAAGCAUUGUGUACUUCCACAUGAAGACACUAAAUAGAUUCUUUAAUUUUAACUUUAUAGAUUUUCAGUAAAUAAAUUCUUCAUAAUGACAAGUAGGUACAAAAUAUUACAUAAAAUGUCACAUAAGGUUUUUUUUUUUUU